rnacentral:rRNA from 1 species
UAAUACGAAGGGGGCUAGCGUUGCUCGGAAUUACUGGGCGUAAAGCGCACGUAGGCGGUCUUUUAAGUCGGGGGUGAAAUCCUGGAGCUCAACUCCAGAACUGCCUUCGAUACUGGAAGACUUGAGUCCGGGAGAGGUGAGUGGAACUGCGAGUGUAGAGGUGAAAUUCGUAGAUAUUCGCAAGAACACCAGUGGCGAAGGCGGCUCACUGGCCCGGUACUGACGCUGAGGUGCGAAAGCGUGGGGAGCAAACAGG